AGCGAACGCUGGCGGCAGGCCUAACACAUGCAAGUCGAACGAACCUUUCGGGGUUAGUGGCGGACGGGUGAGUAACACGUGGGAACGUGCCUUUAGGUUCGGAAUAACUCAGGGAAACUUGUGCUAAUACCGCAUGUGCCCUUCGGGGGAAAGAUUAAUCGCCUUUAGAGCGGCCCGCGUCUGAUUAGCUAGUUGGUUGAGGUAAUGGCUCACCAAGGCGACGAUCAGUAGCUGGUCUGAGAGGAUGAUCAGCCACAUUUGGACUGAGACACGGCCCAAACUCCUACGGGAGGCAGCAGUGGGGAAUCUUGCGCAAUGGGCGAAAGCCUGACGCAGCCAUGCCGCGUGAAUGAUGAAGGUCUUAGGAUUGUAAAAUUCUUUCACCGGGGACGAUAAUGACGGUACCCGGAGAAGAAGCCCCGGCUAACUUCGUG
rnacentral:rRNA from 1 species